rnacentral:lncRNA from 1 species
AUAAUACCCUCAUUUGUAAGUCAUAAAGAUCAAUGAAGACUAUUUCAUAAACAUUAUGAAUAACCUAACAUUCUAAUUUCAUUUUGGUUUAUGUUGCUCACACCAUGAACAAUUUUAGUUCGACUCCUGGAAUAGAAGUUACACAUGCAACCUAUGACCAGGUUAGUCUGUUCCAGUUAGUAAAAUCACCAAAUCAGCCCAUCAUUCGAAGCCCUUUCAUGAUUCUCCCACUAUGUAUGUUUCAAUCCUAACUUUAUCCUUAUUCCUAUUUCUAAAUUUGUACAUGUCAUCAUAUAGCAAAGGUAUGACCUCCAUUAUACCUUUAAUAUAUUAGCCAGA